rnacentral:rRNA from 1 species
AUACGGAGGAUCCGAGCGUUAUCCGGAUUUAUUGGGUUUAAAGGGAGCGUAGGCGGACGCUUAAGUCAGUUGUGAAAGUUUGCGGCUCAACCGUAAAAUUGCAGUUGAUACUGGGUGUCUUGAGUACAGUAGAGGCAGGCGGAAUUCGUGGGGUAGCGGUGGAAUGCUUAGAUAUCACGAAGAACUCCGAUUGCGUAAGCAGCCUGCUGGACUGUAACUGACGCUGAUGCUCGAAAGUGUGGGUAUCAAACAGGAUUAGAUACCCUGGUAGUCCACACAGUAAACGAUGAAUACUCGCUGUUUGCGAUAUACAGUAAGCGGCCAAGCGAAAGCGUUAAGUAUUCCACCUGGGGAGUACGCCGGCAACGGUGAAACUCAAAGGAAUUGACGGGG